UCUCUUCCUUUUCUUUCUUUCUUUCUUUUCUUUUCUUUAUUUAUUUUUUUCUCUUCCUCCCUCAUUCCCUCUCUUCCUUCGGCGAACCCGAAGUCAACCACCCAUCUUCCCUCUCAAACUUCCCUAGCCACCACCCAUCUUUCCUCUCAAUCUCCCACCAUCCCCAACCACAACCCAGUCCCCACCUCUAUCUCUGUUAACUUCGGCGAACCCGAAGUCUUCGUCGCCGCCAUCUUCUUUCUACUGCCACAGAGCUCUUGGACAAAAGGCCAAGCUCUCCUUCUUCUACUUGCAGUUUGUCUCUCAUUGAAGUCUCUAUUCUCUCUUUCUCCGGCCAAUUUAGGCCAAGGAGAAACCGCCGGCAUCUCUGCAACUUCCGGCGAGCUUCCAUCACCUUCUCCGGCCACGGUUUGGCCGAAAAUUCCAGAAUCUUUCUAAGUCUCUCUCAGUUUCCUCUUCUUCUCUCGCGGAUGCAGUGGAAAAAAACACUUGCUAGGAAGAAAGUAGCUAGGCCUCCAUAACCCCCUCCAUUUCCAGAGGAGGAGUUUUCUUCAUCUGAGUCUGAGGCGACUAUAUCAUCUUCUUCCAGUGCACCAUCUAUGGAUCCAGAGGGCCCCAUUGUCGCCCCAAUGUCAGAGCAGACCAAAUGGGCCUAUGAUGAGAUGACCCGACGUGACAUUGCUACUAUUCUUACGUCGACCAGCGGUAUGGUGUACCCUGGUUGGUUGCAUUAUUCUACCAACAUCUCUGGCGGGAUGAGGAUGACCCACAGAUCUUUUAUACUGUUGUGGAUGGGUGAGACAUUGUCAUUUCUACAGUCUUUAUUGAGAUAGCUUGUGGAUGCUCCCAUAUGUUUCCAGUGGUCAUAUAGACUGAACAACCAUUAUACCCGAUCAUUCCAGAGUAUCAUACAGAGAUAGAUAUGGCUGCAGCUCUCUCUCCUCAGACAGCCUAUUUAGGCAACACCUAUGCGAAGCUGGUUGACAUUUCCUCACGGCUUUGGUUUAUCGAUACUGUGCUGUUCAUUGAAGGCCCUUCACAGUUUUAACCAGGGAUGUUGGGUAUUAGUUCCUUCACUUAUAUGGGAGAUCUUCCAUAAGUACUAGGACAACUUAGUGUUUCGACGGAAUGAUAAAGCUAAGUCUUGGUCUUUACCCUUUGGCCACUUGAUCACACAGAUUCUAGUGGACCAGGGCUUCCCACUUGACCCAGCGGAGGAGCCAUAACUGGCCAACAGGAGGGAUCACAUGAGGUAUGGUGUGACUCAGUGGAAGAAGAGUUAUACUACCUAUCAGACCAGCCUGAGAAUAGCUACAAAGAAGAGGCUCCAGACUUUAGAUUCAUAUGAGGGGUCUACAACUUCUUUUGUUCCUAGGUCGAGACAGCGCACUACUUCUGGCACAUCCCAGCCUCCCACCACAUCCUAGUUUCAGACAGGUAUUUCAUCAGCUCCACCUCCGCCUCCAGCAGCUCAGAUAGGCCCAUCCACUUAGCACGCUAGCUCUGAUUCCAGUCUCCGAGGCGAUGUUACUCAGUUCCAGCCCAAGUUCAGAUCAUUCGAUGCCCGGAUGGUAUAUAGGGUUACCGAUCUUGAGAGAGGUAUCACCGAUACGAGGAGGGAUGUUAGCUCAGGAGUGAUGUAAUGGCUAAUCUUUGUGAUUCGGUCGAACUGUUUUUUCAAGAAUAUUCUUGAUUUCUCGAUUUGAUACAUCCACUUGACCAUUAGUUUGAGGAUGGUAAGGUGUGGCAACCUUGUGAGUGAUGGAGUACUUGAGAAGGACUGAUUUUAGAUAAUGAUUGCAAAAAUGAGAUCCUCCGUCACUAGUGAGUGCUCUAGGAAUACCAAACCGGCUGAAAAUGUUCGUUUGAACGAAUUUGACCACAACAGCAUGAUCAUUGGUUUUGGUAGCCUUAGCUUCAAUCCAUUUGGACAUGUAAUCCACUGCCACGAGAAUGUACUCAUAGCCAUGAGAGGAUGGAAAUGGUCCCAUGAAGUCGAUUUAUCAUACAUCAAAGAUUUCAACAACUAAAAUGGGGUUGAACAACAUCAUGUCUCUUCUAGAAAUGGCUCCAAGUUUUUGGCAGCGCUCACAAGAUUUACAGAAAUUGUAUGCAUCCUGAAAUAGAGAGGGCCAAUAAAAUCCACUUUGAAGGACUUUGGCGAAAGUUUUCUUAGCGCUGAAAUGUCCUUCACAUGCUAGAGUGUGGUAGAAUUUGAGGACACUUUGGAACUCAAUUUUAGGAUUGCAUCUCUAAUAAUUUAGUUUGGGCAAUAUUUGAACCGCUCUGGAUCUUCCCAAAAGAAAAUUUUGAUUUGGGAAAAGAACUGGUAUUUCUCUUGUUUGGACCAGUUGGUAGGAUUUUUACCGACAACAAGGUAGUUAACGAUGUCGGCAUACCAAGGAAGUUUUUCAUGAGAUACUUGAAAAAGUUGUUCAUCCGAGAAUGAGUCAUAGACCGGAAUGAAAUCAGAAGAAGCCUCAACAAGAAUACAGGAAAGGUGGUCAGCAACAACAUUUUUAGUUCAUUUCUUAUCCCGAAUUUCAUAAUUGAACUCUUGGAGUAAUAGUAUCCAACGAAUUAGUCGAGUUUUGGUUUCCUUUUUGGCCAACAAGUGCCUCAAGGCAGCAUAGUCUAAGAAAACAAUGACCUUGGAUCCAAGAAGAUGGGAUUAAAAUUUUUCCAAGGUAUAGAUGACAGCUAGCAAUUUUUUUUUUUUUUUUUUUUUUUUUCAGUUGUCGUAUAGUUCAAUUGAACUUCCGAUAAAGUUUUGCUAGCAUAGUAAAUGGCAUGUGGGAUUUUGUCCACACGUUGGCUUAAAACCGCACCUAAUGCAGUCAGAUGCAUCACACAUGAUCUCAAAGGGAAGAGACCAAUCGGGUGGUUUCAUGAUUAGGGCAGAUGAAAGGAGGGAUCAGAGUUUUUCAAAGGCCUUUAGGCAAGUUUCAUCAAAUAGAAAUGGAGUGUCUUUGGCAUGAAGUUGGCAUACAGGCUUGCUAAGGCAUUUGAUCAAAUGCUGAUAGAAACUGGCAUGGCCAAGAAAAGAUCGAAUUUGCUUCACCGAGUUUGGAGGUGGAAGAUUAGAGAUUAAUUAUGAUGCAACCCGAGCGCGUGUACAAAAUAAUGCACAACGCUUUGAGUUUGGAAAUUAGUGUCAAGUGGGCAUCAUACUUUAAAUUUAUAAACCGCUUAACACCUAUAUUAUGUAGUAUGAGUGAGAAGGGAUCAUCCCAAGAGAUUGUACGUGUUGGAAUUUAAUUUUGACUCUAAUGUAUCAAUUGAUUGCAAAUGAGGGUUGGGUUGUUUGAUUACUCUAGAAAAUAAUUAAUUAAAAUGCAAUUAAAAUAAACUAAGUUGAGUUAAGGAUUUAAGAGAUGAGAAGUGAGGUCUUGGGGUGCAUUGGAAUCGUCACCAAGCUCGUUCACCAAAUCACACACUUUCAACUAAUUUGGGAAAAACAUUCUUGUGAACAAAAUGCGAUUACCAAUUGCUAUAUUAAGCAUGGACCAUCAAAUUCAAAAAUGAAUUGUCUACCUAACUGACAAAUAAAUUAAGUGUAGCACAACCCAUCAAUUUUAAGCAUGACCAAUUAAACUAGUUACAAUUGUAGCACACAUUAAUCUAGAGAAUCAUGGAAUUUGUAAUAAUAAGCCAUGGAAUAUCAAAUCAAGUAAAAAUUGUCUACCUACCUACAAGUAUGAAUUAAAUUGUAGAAUAACCUAUCAAGUAUAAGCAUAAUCUAUCAAAUUAAUUGACAAACCUAUCUAAUAAAAACUAUGCAUAGCCAUUACUAGAUUCUUAAUCAACCACACAUAGACAUGCAAUUAAUAUAGAAAAACUAGUGUAGAGAUCAAUUCCUAAAUAAUCACACAUAAGACAAUAUAUAAUCACAUAGAAAAUCAAUAGAAAGAAUUAAUACAUAGAAAUCAAAGGAGAACCCAAGAUUCAUUAAAUUGACAAGGCUAAAACACUAAAUACAAGAUAUUAUUCCCCAAAAAGUAUGAAAGAGAUAGAGGUUUAGAUUGCAAUCUUGGGGCUUAUCCAAGCCCCAAGGAGAAGUCUAGCCAAUAAUGGAGGAGGUGGAUGUGAUCUUGGAACCUUCAAGGGCAAUCUCCAACCAUGGCUCCAUCUUCUUCCUCUUCUUCUUUGUUGAAUUCUAGAGAGAGAGAGUGUAUAGAUCUUAAGAUGUGUUCUUAGUGCCCCUACUCUUUUCUUUUCUUCUAACCCUAAUCUCUAACUUUUCUAGAGAGAGAAACUAACUAUUACAAUGUAAAAAUAAAAUAAAAUUAAAGACAAAAGUUAGAUUACAAAAUGGUUCAAUUCCCUUUAAAUACAAGGUCCUUGGAGUAGUGAACAAGUCAGAAAAUGAGCCCUUAAAAUAUCUAAUCCCGUAGUUAUGUGGCAGGUAGAGUUCGGGUGUGCAGGAAUUAGACAGCACACUGCCAACAGCCACUUUGAUUGAUCGAAGGGAACUUCAAUCGAGCAAACACUUACUUCGAUUGAUCGAAGCUGAUGCGUCAUGAAAAUAUCUUCUUAGCCUUAUCUGGAUUGCUAAGCUGGCACCCCUUAUCGAUUGUAUCCUUUUUCGAUCGAUCGGGACUUUAUUCGAUCGAUCAAAGCUUCACUGGUGUAAUUUUCUGACUUUUUUCUAGAUUUGCUUCUUAACUCAAAACAUGAGCUAAAUGGUUCUUCUUAGCUUGUUUGAACCUUAUUGACUUGAAAUAGGCAAAAACACAAAUAAGUACUAAAACAUGAAAGUAAGAUAGAUGAAUGGACUAGAAUACCCUAGCUUAGGUGCUAUAAUGCGUUACAUUUGAGCACUCAUCACACCCCUUAAGUUAGAUAUUGCUAGUCCCUAGCAAUGAACUACAAGGAGAUGAAAUAAAUAAACAUCUAAAUAACUACGAACUAGAAAGCAGUGAAAUGAUAACCAUUUUCAUGAGGAACAAGAUUGCAUUUAGCAUAUGCAACAAGCCUUUUAAACCCCUAGGUUACCCCUAGCGGACGAGUGAAGUCUCGUGAGAGUUUCUAGAAAUGAUACCCACAAACAUUAAGCUCUUUCUCACUAAAGAGGUACCAACAUACAAAACAAGCAUUGGGAGAAAAUUACCUCAAGUAUACAAUUUUUCAACCAUUUCUAAGCAGUCUCCAAAAAUCUCAACAUCAAGCAAGCAAGUAUGGUCUUCCAUACAUUAAGACAAUGAUCAUACGAAUCAAAACAACUCUAAAAUUCUUUUUAGGUGAACCGACAUCAAAUAUGUUGCUAUCUAAGUCAACCAAAGAAAUGAUCACAUUUGGCCUCAAACUAGCAUACAAAUCUAGCACCGGUCAUCAAGACAAAGAAUGGACCUUUUAUUAAAACUUUAUUUAAUUAGGUGGGCUUAUUCAAGCUCUAUAGUUAUCCAUAAGGUCAAGCAUUAGGCCAAUGACUCCCAAACCAGACGGCUUUAGGACAUUAUGUGUUUAAACACCCCUAAAGACUUACAAGCUCAAAUCAAUUAGGCUACAAAUCAAAAUAACUUCCAUAUAAUUAUUUUCUAUUUCUCACCUUUUAGGAAAAGUCCUCACUUUUUUUAUUUGCUUUUGUAUACUUUUUUUUUUUUUUUAACCUAGAGUUUGGGCCCUCCAUCUUUCGGCACGAGAAAUUUAGUGCUUGAUGAGGCUAUAAUCCUGAUUACUUAGUGAAAAGGGUUUGUUAUCCACCUUUGUCAAGAAUGAGAACUUUCAAUGCACUACUAGCUCAAUUGGAUAUAACCAAAUCAAUAAUCAACAAAGCAUAUACUCCACAAAUGAAUGCUAGUGUGCGCAUGUGCUAGUGUAGAAUCCUAGAGUGAAUCUCAAAACAAUCACAAAAUCAAGAUGAUAUGGACCACAAAUGCAAGCAAGAUAUCAAUCUUUCGAAAAAUUUACUCCUAAAUGGCAUCUACAAGGCAUACAAGGAGUAUUGGAUUCUCAAGUCAAGCAAUUUUUAAAUUCUAAGUAUAAUAUGGUCCUCAAAAGAUCAAAAUCAUAGCUACAAGGAUUUCACAUCUCAAUCAUGCAAUUAAAGCUCAAACUUUAAAUAGAAUGCAACAAAGUCACCUUACCCCCAAACUUAAAUCGCACAUUGUUCUCAAUGUGCAAUGAGAACAAUGGAAAAGAUGAAAAAAAUAUACCGUGGUGGCAAAGAUAUGAAGCCCGGUAAUGAUCCAUUAGAGGGUAGGCACCCCCAAACUUGGAAUCAACAACCUAUUAGAGUAACCACACUAGCAAACUCACAUCAAAUAUCAAAUGGGAUAAAGAUAACAAAUUAAGCAUUCUAAUGCAAUAUAGCAUAAGAUGAAAGAGAGAUAUGAGAUCAUGUCUCAUAGAAAAUAUAAAAUUAGCAUGACUACACAUAAGGGCACAAUGGUGGAAAGUUUUUAUAUUUUUCAUUUAAUGAAAGCAAGUAUAGACAAAAUGCAAAAAAAAAAAAAAAAAAAAAAAACAAAGAAUAAAUUGCAUGAACAAAAUACAAAAAGAUAAAAUAAAGAAGGUAAAAUGUAAUGAAAGAAUAUGUACAAUGCAAGAAAUGAAAAACAAAAAGCAAGAAAUGAUGCAAGAACAAAAUAAUGAAAAAUAAAAGUAAAAAUUCUUUUUUAUUUUAUUUUAUUUUUUAUUUUUUAGAUAUAACAAGUAUGUACACAUACAUAAAAAUAAAACCAAUAAACAUGGAAAUAAGGGAUGCGAAAAAAAAAAAAAAAAUUAUUAUUUUUUUAAUGAACAGUGCUCGAUCGUUUGAAAAUUCUGCGAAGAAUGCUCCAUUUUGCCUUGAAAUUUUCUAUAAUGACCCGAUCAUUUUCCUUCCUUUUCUUUUUCCUCCAUUUUUACGGAUAAAUUUUUUUCAUUGAAAUUUCCUUUCGCGUAACCUCACUUUUUAUGCUCGGAGUUGGUUUUUGACUUCUCGUACUUCCAUCCUUAUUGGUUUCUUUGAAAGGCGUAGCUUUACUUUUGGAGAAAAGCUCGCCGGUUGUUUCCUUUUCCUGCAGGGGCUUGGAUGAAGAUAUUCUUCGAAAAUAUUUUUGUUUCUUGGGGUGUUUUUAAUAAAAAUCUUUUGAAGAUAUUUUGGUUUAGGAGUUUCUAAGAAAAUAUCUUUUGGAAGAUAUUUUCAUUUGGGAUCACUUGCGCAGCUAUCCUUUUGUGUAGGGGCCUUUGUGCAAUUAAUGAAAGUUAAUUGCUAAGUGCCUUUAUGGGGCUUAAAUCCUCGUAAGGUACUCAUUUUCACAUUUCGUCGAGUCGUGUACUUUUGGAGUUGUUUUGUGGUCGAACCCUACAGUUUUCAGGUUUUCUGCCCCGGUUAGCACCAAACUUGUUUGGGACAUAUCUCUUUGCUCGGGACUCGGUUUUUGACACUGUUUCUUCCGUUAAUUAUAUUUUCUCAUUUCGGUUCUCUUUCAUUCACGGAGUUUUGCUGUUUAAGAGCGUCUGCUCAAAUUUCACUUUUUCGGACCUGGCAGGGUUCGUUCGAGGCACUUUUAGGGUUUGUUUUUUUUUUUUUUUUUUUUUUUUUUUUUUUUUUUUUUCUAUAAAUAUGGGUCUCUAAAAAUGAAAAAUCAGAUAUUUUCAUCUCUUCCCCUCUCUUGGCUAACCGAAGCUCCUCCCAUGGUUGCCAUUUUCUCUCUCCUCUUUUGGACUUCUUCCCUUUAUUUAAAAAUGGUGAUGCCUUAGGUUUCAUUGUUCGCCUUGACGAGGCUUUCGAUUCCAACCGAUUGGAAUUCCGUUUUGGCCAUUUUUCGAGUCUCGAUUUGAAGCCAAGUUAGGAUUUUGGUAGGACUCCCUUGGGGUUUAAUGAUCUCCUUGUUGUCCCCGAUAAAACCUUGAAGUUUCGUUGAAUUUAGAGCGGUUUCAUUUCGGUGGGAAUUUGUGAUUUCAUCAUAAAAUGAGGUACGGAUGCCUGGGUUUGGGAUGCUCAACAUCGUUUUGAUGAAUUGAAGUUUUUUAAAUGUAUUCUUGUUCACAUGCAAGUGUUAGCAUGCUUGAGUUUUAUUUUUUUUAAAGUUGUAUUGUAUAGUUAGGCCAAAAUGUCAUUUUUGCCUUGGAACUUGUAAUGUGUGCCUAAACACACUUUUUGAUAUUCAUUCUAUGUAUAUGAUAUGUGGUCAAGGGCUAAACUUCAUUUGAAACCCAUGUAUGUUUAUAAAUAUUUAAAUUUGCCUUAAAUGGAAAUAACAUGAAAUCAAGGAUUUUAAUAUCA